AGAGUGAACGCUGGCGGCAGGCCUAAUACAUGCAAGUCGAACGGCAGCACGGCAGAGCUUGCUCUGUGGGUGGCGAGUGGCGGACGGGUGAGGAAUACAUGGGAAUCUGCCCAGUCGUGGGGGAUAACGUAGGGAAACUUACGCUAAUACCGCAUACGCCCUUUGGGGGAAAGCCGGGGAUCGCAAGACCUGGCGCGGAUAGAUGAGCCGAUGUCGGAUUAGCUAGUUGGUGAGGUAAUGGCUCACCAAGGCGACGAUCCGUAGCUGGUCUGAGAGGAUGAUCAGCCACACUGGAACUGAGACACGGUCCAGACUCCUACGGGAGGCAGCAGUGGGGAAUAUUGGACAAUGGGCGCAAGCCUGAUCCAGCCAUACCGCGUGGUGAAGAGGCCUUGGUUGUAAAGCCCUUUGUUGGAAAGAAAGCAAGUCGUUAAUACCCGUUGUUACUGACGUACCCAAAGAA
rnacentral:rRNA from 1 species